UACAGAGGUCUCAACCGUUGUUCGGAUUCAUUGGGCGUAAAGGGUGCGUAGGCGGUCGUGCAAGUCGGAUGUGAAAUCUCAGGGCUCAACCCUGAAACUGCAUUCGAUACUGCGUGGCUAGAGUGCUGGAGAGGAGACUGGAAUUUACGGUGUAGCAGUGAAAUGCGUAGAUAUCAGGAGGAACACCGGUGGCGAAGGCGGGUCUCUGGGCAAUAACUGACGCUGAGGAGCGAAAGCGUGGGGAGCGAACAGG
rnacentral:rRNA from 1 species